AAACAAAUUCACUGUUUUUUCUAUUUUUAUUAAGAUCUUCUAUGUUCCGUUAUAGACAUCUUCUCAGCAGAAAGCAGUACUCAGCCUCUGCCUUCAACAGCCUAGGCAGAAUUGUGUGCUAUUGUUGAUAUGCUGCUCCUGGGAAAGCAGUCAGAAACAGGAGAUGUCCUGCAGGAAUGUGGAAGACAUCAUCUGUCUUGGAGCUUGGUGGGUUUCUGGCCAAAUUUACGUGGUCCAGGUUCAUAUUAGUUUCAUAAAAUCUGCCCCUUGAGAGACUCCUAGCUAAGAAACCCGGAGGAGAUUGAAAAUCAAUGUAGAGCAGCAUCACCCUUGCCUGUAGGUUCUGAGUUAUGUGCGGCCCCCUAGAUGAAGGGAAAAGCUUUAGGUAUCCCCAUGAACCUAGUGAAAAUGUCUCCUCAAUGCAAAGCAGCUGUGAAAAGCUAACAACAGCAAGUAAGCUGCGUUAACAAGGGAAUAGGGAGUAAUACAGAAAAUCUGGGGGCCUGACAAGUUAAUCAGAGCUGGGCAGCAACUUAAGAAACCUUAGAAGGAUACAAAACAGAGCAGCUCAAAUAAUUUCUACCAAGAGCUGCAGGAUAGAUUUAAGUGCUGGAGGCAGUUGGGUCAUUUCAUUUCCAAGAGGACAGCAGGUUGUAUGUGAAUGCUGGCAAGGAAAUGGAAGUUGAUUUGCAAUGUUACAGCUUGGGGUGAUGUUUUGCUCCUGUGCAUAAAGCUGUAGGUGAAAUUCAGCCUUACAAGUGAAGGCAGUGGAACAACUGGAGGUGCACCUGCUUAUACUGUGGUUAAAGAUGCUCUAAUCUCUUUUAAGGCUGCUCCUCACUGAUGUGUCUCUUCACUGAUCUGAUUAUGCCAGCUCAUGAAUCACUGUGAUGUAUUUACAUUUCUAAACCAUAUUAUGCUUUGCCUGAAAUCUUUGUGUAAUUGGCAAUCAGUAUUACUCAUUACAUACAACAUGAAAGAGAGAAACGCUUCCUCCUUUGGAAAAGCAACAUAUCCUCAGAGAUCAGAGAAUGAAGAGACUUGGAGUUCCAACUUCAUUUUGGCCAAACCCGGUAGAGGGCUGAGGUGGCUCAAGGAUAGUGCUUGGAGGCUCUGCUCACCAACAUUUGCUCCAAGGGUGCAACCAGCUGCCCCUCUGAUCCAGGUCAGAAGCAUGCCAGUGGCAUCAGGAUUAGGACUAUCUCCCCAGUGGGGGGCAACUGCUCCAGAAACGAAGCAAGAACAAAGGUGAGAGGGACACAACUGCACGCAGCCAGUCCAGGAGCAGAGGUUAACUCAGAGGACUCUUUCUUCCUCUCUUUUCCAAGCAGGAGUUUGAAAUUGCCAUCUUCUCUACCCUAAAAGUCUGAAAGAAGUGGAAAACUUUCGCUCUUCUCACAGCAUCUUAUUCUCUGGCCUCAAAUGUGCUGCAGCAUCUGCAAAGUCUUCCUUGCAGGAUUAGAAAUAAGAACUCUGUGCUCUUGAAAGGAAGGAAGCUUCCUCAAAGCCCACAGGAGUUUCAGUUCAGACCCUUCAGCCUCUCCCUGGUGUUGAGAUAAUGGACUUAAAAAGUUUGAACAUGAAGUUAUAAGUGUUACAUGGGCUCACUUCAGAAGUUCUGGGGGCUGCUUGUGAUGGCACAGUUGGACUGAUGGUAACUGAAGCACAGACUUUGCGGGUGAAGGAAUGUGAAAAACAUCAUUCAUAAAAUGAGACCAUUUUACAGUGCUGUUUUUUUCUCUUGCUCCCCUCAAGGGUCAGAUUCUGGUUUAAGGGAAGCCUAUGGUAAAAUCAUAGAAUUAUAGAACCAUAGAAUGGCUUAGGUUGAAAGACACCUUAAAGAUUAUCCAGUCCCAACCCUCUGCUGUGGGCUGGUUGCCCCCCAUCAGCUCAAGCUGCCCAGGGCCCUGUCCAGGGCCUUGGGCGCCUCCAGGGUUGGGGCACCCAUAGCUCCCUGGGCAAAAAUAGAGCUUCUCAGACAAGUACUCCAAAACGAGGCAAUGCCUAUCUGAUGGCCUCUUCUGCCCCAGUGUCUAUUUACUGUGACAGUUUUUGGUUACAUUCCAAGUAAUAUUUUGUAUGUGAGCGCAUACAUGCCUUAUGCCCACUUGCUUGCAACAUCUAUCUUUAGCCUGUUACAUCUUUGGGGUGCAUGUUAGUGAAAUCAAAAGGUAUGAAGAAAUAAAGCAAGAUGUAUAAGAAGCCUCAUGCUACAAGUAAGAUCAGUAAUGUUUAAAUCUGAUACAGGGCUUUUCCAUGAAACUACAAAAGAUUCUCAAACCUGCUUUCUUGCACUGUUUUCUUCUCUGGCCAUUUCCACAAACUUGUGAGAAACAGGCAUUUGGUGUACUUUAAAUGUUUCUCCAGCUCAAACAAUUCUAUGAAUUCAGUGGGUGCUGGACUCAUAAUCUUCUAACAAAGUGGGACUCCUUUGCUCCUGGAUAUCUCAAGUUGGACACUCACAAUUACCAGAUGAUUCUGACCUUAAUCUCACUGUGCCCCAGUUUCCUGUCUGAUCCCUUUAUGACAAGGAAAAAGGCAGAAGUUCACUGAUGCCUACCAAGCACCAGGAGAUUAGUGAAGAGCACCAUGAAGAAAUUAAUUCCUCCAUACUUGAGUGGAGUUUGGCUGGGGUCCUGGCAGUAUGGCACAGGGCCACGUUGAAUGAGAAGUGUGAAGGAGAAAUACUGAGCAUUCCAUUCACUGAGAACCAUCCGGAGUGCAUCCUAGAUGUACAGCAUGCAGGAAGCCUGGAUUCUUCCUGAUUCCUGGGUGCUUGCCUCAGCUAUCCACAUCCAUCUGAAUGCUGUAUCUUCAUGCAAGUUCUGCAUCCCUUUGCUUUGCACUGCCAAAGAUAGUAAGGGAUGGGAGCUCCGUAACCUCUAGGUCAGGUUGUCAAGACUUACCUGUGCAACACAGCAGAGAAUGAAGAAUUCUCACUGGUGCCAAGUCAGAUACCAGCAAGUACUUUGGCUCUGAAUUUUUGUCAAUAUUUUCCAUCAGUUUUUAUUUUUAUACCAAAGUAACAACUUUUGUCAAGGUUGUAUUGAUUUCCUGUCUGUCAAACCAAUUGUUCAAAUUUUGAAAAGGGAACAAAACAAAAGAUGGAGAAAUAGGAGAGAGAUUAUAAUGUAAUCCCUCUCCCCACCUCUUUUCCCCUCACAAUUAUUCUUUCUUGCUAUUACUAGCUGUUAACUUGGCUAUCAUCAGCUGUUAAAUACUCUACAUGCAGAGGUAUUUCCUCCUUUGUGAAAUCUGCAGUCCCAAAAAACAAUGAAGGAAUCCAGACACAUCUUCUGGCCACAUCUACCAUAAGCUCUGAGCUCAGAUUUCAUCUGAAUGGUGAAGGUACAGAAAGGGCAAAUUCUCCUGCAGCCAGCAUGCCUCAGACCUCUCCCUCUGGCACCUGUUUGAGCCUCUAUUUCAGCAAUAUACCCAUAGGUGAUGAGAUACUGGAAACCAAACAUGGCUAGCUUUGGAGAUCACUGUUGGUUGGUUCACAUGCUUGAAUGGCUCAGGCCAUUGGGGCAGAUGAUCAGAGCUCAGUGUCUGACCUACACUUCUUCUAGGAGCCCCCUGAGUCCAAGGUGAUGAUUCUUCGUUCAUAAAUUUGUGGGAAAUACAUGCUGUGGAGAAGAACUGUUUUGGAAAUAUUUAGUACUCCCUGAAGUAAAAUAACCCUGUCCUGUAGGUUCACAUUCAAAGGAUCAGCUCUUCUCCAGAUGGACAUGAGCUGUGCAGUGUGUGCUGGCUGUGCUUUUGCUGUGUUUGCUGAUUUGUGCACAUGGGGCACUGGGCUUUUUGUAGAUGUAGUGGGUGAAACUGGGUAAAGCCCAGAGUAUUGGACAUGAUGGAGACAUUUAGGAGAAAGGGUCAACA